ACGCUGGCGGCAGGCCUAACACAUGCAAGUCGAGCGGUAGAGAGAAGCUUGCUUCUCUUGAGAGUGGCGGACGGGUGAGUAAUGCCUAGGAAUCUGCCUGGUAGUGGGGGAUAACGUUCGGAAACGGACGCUAAUACCGCAUACGUCCUACGGGAGAAAGCAGGGGACCUUCGGGCCUUGCGCUAUCAGAUGAGCCUAGGUCGGAUUAGCUAGUUGGUGAGGUAAUGGCUCACCAAGGCGACGAUCCGUAACUGGUCUGAGAGGAUGAUCAGUCACACUGGAACUGAGACACGGUCCAGACUCCUACGGGAGGCAGCAGUGGGGAAUAUUGGACAAUGGGCGAAAGCCUGAUCCAGCCAUGCCGCGUGUGUGAAGAAGGUCUUCGGAUUGUAAAGCACUUUAAGUUGGGAGGAAGGGCAUUAACCUAAUACGUUAGUGUUUUGACGUUACCGACAGAAUAAGCACCGGCUAACUCUGUGCCAGCAGCCGCGGUAAUACAGAGGGUGCAAGCGUUAAUCGGAAUUACUGGGCGUAAAGCGCGCGUAGGUGGUUUGUUAAGUUGGAUGUGAAAUCCCCGGGCUCAACCCUGGGAACUGCAUUCAAAACUGACUGACUAGAGUAUGGUAGAGGGUGGUGGAAUUUCCUGUGUAGCGGUGAAAUGCGUAGAUAUAGGAAGGAACACCAGUGGCGAAGGCGACCACCUGGACUAAUACUGACACUGAGGUGCGAAAGCGUGGGGAGCAAAC
rnacentral:rRNA from 1 species